AGCACGAGUCUCUGCCCAGAGCACGCAUAGGCAGAUUACGCCGGCGACAAUUGCCGGGAAAGGAUUGAGACAGGAAGAAAGGGAAAGGUGAGAGAUGCCUCGUGGUCUUCUGUCCUUGUUCCUGCGCCUUGUUCGUGACGACGGUCGAGGUCGUCAGAGCCGCCGUCGCCGCCAUGGUGUGGGCGGGCUACACCGCCACAACCGCUAGACCCGUGAUCUUCGUCUGU
rnacentral:lncRNA from 1 species